rnacentral:rRNA from 1 species
GAUGAACGCUGGCGGCGUGCUUAACACAUGCAAGUCGAACGAUGAAGCCCAGCUUGCUGGGUGGAUUAGUGGCGAACGGGUGAGUAACACGUGAGUAACCCGCCCUUCACUCUGGGAUAAGCCUGGGAAACUGGGUCUAAUACUGGAUAUGACUUCUCAUCGCAUGGUGGGGGGUGGAAAGAUUUAUUGGUCUUGGAUGGACUCGCGGCCUAUCAGCUUAUUGGUGAGGUAAUGGCUCACCAAGGCGACGACGGGUAGCCGGCCUGAGAGGGUGACCGGCCACACUAGGACUGAGACACGGCCCAGACUCCUACGGGAGGAAGCAGUGGGGAAUAUUGCACAAUGGGCGCAAGCCUGAUGCAGCGACGCCGCGUGAGGGAUGACGGCCUUCGGGUUGUAAACCUCUUUCAGUAGGGAAGAAGCGAGAGUGACGGUACCUGCAGAAGAAGCGCCGGCUAACUACGUG